rnacentral:lncRNA from 1 species
UAAUCAAUGCGCCUAACAAAACUCUAAAUUAAACCCGGCGGAUAUCGCACAUGGCAUAAAGUUUAUUAUAAUUUAACUGAAAUUUGAAUAAUCGUAUUCAAAUGGCUCCAAUUAGAAAUUUAGAAAAAUUAAAACAAAAAAAGCAGAAGAAAACAGCACUUUCCAAAACUAUCAAUGUAGCCACUAAAGAAAACGAUAA